GAGUUUUUAGUAUAUUUUUUAGUAUAUCUAAUUGUUGAUUAGUAGGUUUAGAGCUCU
rnacentral:tRNA from 1 species